CUUGAGGUAUCCAGACAACAUUUGCUUGGGCCACAGAUUGAUUCUACCAUGCAUUGAGAUUAUCAGAUGUGGUGAAAGCUCCAAAAGCUUGUAAGUAGUCUGGAAAUAGUCCUUCAUAUUUCCACCACCUUUAAUGUCCAGAACAGCACUCCCUUGCCCAACACAGUGGUCCCCUACAACAAGGGAGUUCGUCUCAAGAUGAAGCAAAGCAAGGUGACCAUCAGUAUGACCCGGGGAAG
rnacentral:misc_RNA from 1 species